rnacentral:rRNA from 1 species
CUUAAAUGAAUUGACGGGGCCCGCACAAGCGGUGGAGCAUGUGGUUUAAUUCGAAGCAACGCGAAGAACCUUACCAGGUCUUGACAUCCCUGACAACCCGAGAGAUCGGGCGUUCCCCCUUCGGGGGACAGGGUGACAGGUGGUGCAUGGUUGUCGUCAGCUCGUGUCGUGAGAUGUUGGGUUAAGUCCCGCAACGAGCGCAACCCUCGACCUUAGUUGCCAGCAUUCAGUUGGGCACUCUAAGGUGACUGCCGGCUAAAAGUCGGAGGAAGGUGGGGAUGACGUCAAAUCAUCAUGCCCCUUAUGACCUGGGCUACACACGUGCUACAAUGGGCGGUACAAAGGGUCGCGAACCCGCGAGGGGGAGCCAAUCCCAAAAAGCCGCUCUCAGUUCGGAUUGCAGGCUGCAACUCGCCUGCAUGAAGCCGGAAUCGCUAGUAAUCGCGGAUCAGCAUGCCGCGGUCGAAUACGUUCCCGGGCCUU